rnacentral:rRNA from 1 species
UAGUGGCGAACGGGUGAGUAACACGUGGGCAAUCUGCCCUUCACUCUGGGACAAGCCCUGGAAACGGGGUCUAAUACCGGAUAAUACCUGCCUGGGCAUCUGGGUGGGUUGAAAGCUCCGGCGGUGAAGGAUGAGCCCGCGGCCUAUCAGCUUGUUGGUGAGGUAGUGGCUCACCAAGGCGACGACGGGUAGCCGGCCUGAGAGGGCGACCGGCCACACUGGGACUGAGACACGGCCCAGACUCCUACGGGAGGCAGCAGUGGGGAAUAUUGCACAAUGGGCGGAAGCCUGAUGCAGCGACGCCGCGUGAGGGAUGACGGCCUUCGGGUUGUAAACCUCUUUCAGCAGGGAAGAAGCGCAAGUGACGGUACCUGCAGAAGAAGCGCCGGCUAACUACGUGCCAGCAGCCGCGGUAAUACGUAGGGCGCAAGCGUUGUCCGGAAUUAUUGGGCGUAAAGAGCUCGUAGGCGGCUUGUCGCGUCGGUUGUGAAAGCCCGGGGCUUAACCCCGGGUCUGCAGUCGAUACGGGCAGGCUAGAGUGUGGUAGGGGAGA